CGAAAAGGGCGUUUGGUGAAUGCCUUGGCAGUAAGAGGCGAUGAAGGACGUGAUACUCUGCGAUAAGUCAUGGGGAGCUGAGAAUAAGCUUUGAUCCAUGAAUUUCUGAAUGGGGCAACCCACCUGAUACUUUGUUAUUAUUACCCUUCGGGGUGAUUAAUAAUGAGGUAAACCAGGUAUUUUUAACCUGAAUACAUAGGGUUAAAAAAGCAAACCCGGGGAACUGAAACAUCUAAGUACCCGGAGGAAAGGACAUCAAUUGAGACUCCCUUAGUAGCGGCGAGCGAACGGGGAACAGCCUGCAAGUGAUAGCAGAAGUGUUAGUGGAAUAGUCUGGAAAGUCUAGCGAUACAGGGUGAUAGCCCCGUACACGAAAACACAUCUGUGGUACUAAGCUUGCGACAAGUAGGUCGGGACACGUGUUAUCUUGACUGAAUAUGGGGGGACCAUCCUCCAAGGCUAAAUACUCCUAACUGACCGAUAGUGAACUAGUACCGUGAGGGAAAGGCGAAAAGAACCCCGGGAGGGGAGUGAAAUAGAUCCUG
rnacentral:rRNA from 1 species